GAGUAAACAAUUCUGGUCCAGUGUUCAGUUGAUCUGCUUCAUCGCACACGUGAUUUGUUUUUCUUGCGAAACCCAAUAACCCGUUUCCUUAUCCCUUUAUCCAGAACCUAUACCUCUACCUGUAUUCCUGCCUCCACAAUGUCAGGAGAGAAGCUUUUGAUACCUAGGCACUCACAACAACAGAGUCUAGGAAAUAAAAGAUCAUUUUCUGCUGAAACAGCAAAUGUAAACAUCCAUGACAUGAUGAUGUCACUCUCCCUCCAAACGAGCCGUUCCAAAUUUUAAGUGCUCUUGGGCAGAACAUUGAAAUCAACAACAAUUUUUCCUUGGCCACAUACAUGAGUUUGAGAAAGAUCUCAUCAAAAUGGCAGCGAAACAGGAUAAAUGUGGAGAAGAAAAAGCAGCCUUUGUGCCAAAUCAUAAAUUUCUAACACUAUAAAAAACAGGUUUGAGAGGGCAGAGGAGCUGAAGGAGAAGAUUCUAAGGGAGUACAAAGAAGAAUACACAAACUACCUGGAAGAAAAAAUCAGUGAGGAGGAGCAAGGAAACAGAAUUAAGAAUAAAGAAGAGAAAAUAGACCAGAAGAAAGCCUUCUGGGAAGACAUAAGAGAAAUCCUGUGUAUGGCAGGAUUUUCUAAAUGGGCUUCCUUUCCUUUUGCACAACUCUAUGGUGAAAGAAACAAAGGUAAGGAGGUGGGCCAUGGAGCAACAUUACCAAAAAGAACCUUCAGCCCACCAGUAGAGUCUUUACAAAAGGAAUCAUGUGAUGAAGUAACCCCAUGAAAAUCAGCAUCUGCCAAGGAGGCUGCAAAAACAUUCAUCGAGGGAAGGCUGGGUGAGUCACCACAGGUUUCUGACUUGGACAACCUGGUAUAGACGUGCUUCCACUGCAUCUGGGUCAACCACACAGGAGUAACACUGAAGCUCAAAAGUAAGGCAAGGUAGAGUUGUCUGAAGUCUGGAGCACUGAUCCCAACAGAGAACACUGGAUCAUCUGCCAUGUCCUCAGACUUCUGUUUCCAUGAAUCCAUUUACUCUCCUAUGAUAAGAACCUCCUGUGAUGAAUGGUGUCUUUUUUUUUAACUGCCUUGCUGUUGUCUUGUGCAGAAAUCAAUAUUUCUGGAUGUGUCUGUAAUUCGAUUGUAAAGAAAUUUCUGAGCUUGCCCUGAAGUUCUAAGGCCACAAAGGGACUUCCUCAUCCAUACAACAUAACAUGACUACAGACAGACUGUGGUGGUCUGGACUCUGUGUAUAUAUUUGUCCUGUCUGCAACACGUUAAUACUUGAUGGGGUUUCUCACAACCUCACAGCUCCUGGUAAAAUGUCCCACACUUUCUUCAAGGUGGAUGCUACGGGAUAUUAGGUGUUUGGCUCAAUCUAUGUCUGGAAGUCACAAACCUUGUAAGACAUGUGUGUCAGGUUAAGUUUAAGGCAACACUCAGAAGUACACAGGACAACACAAGUCCAGACCUUGAGUCCAGAGGCAAAAAUCUAGAGAUAGGAACUAAGAACAAAGAAGACAUGUCUGUACCAGGGGAGACACAGCAAAAGUUUUCCAUUUCUCUGGCUGUUUAGCUUACAGGACUCACCUGAGUUAGGAGAGUACUUUGUCCAAUGAGUCUGUGUACACACAGAGAAAUUUUACAAUCAGCUCAUAGUUACAUCAUGAGAUAUUGCUUGAUCUACUCUAGCUGACAAUAAAAAUCCAUGGCCACAUCUUCCAGACACCAGGAUCCAAAGCUUGGAGAAAAAAAUACCUACUAAUUAUUGGAAGGGGCUGAAGGAGAGCAUCUCAAAGGCUUUGCAUUUCUCUCCCAGGUUACCAGGCUGAGUUCUGUCUCAGGGAUAACAGACCUUGUUACCUCAGAUUUUUCUCUCUUUUGGACUUCAGUUAAGAAUAGGAGAGGCCUGCAUCAGCUGGUCCUCCCUCAGGAUUCAUGUGAGAAAUUCCUCACCUCAGCAAGGAAGAAAACUAAGAAAGGAAUCUAAACAUGUGGGGUGUUAUGUAGAUGCCUGGAAAAUAUAUAAACAUUUCUUAUCUGAGGCACUUUCCUCCCCCUUGCCUUUCUAUGAUUCUCAGGGAACAUAUCUAGGGUGUCUAUCCAUAUAUAUGAUACUAGAUUAGGAGCUAUGAGUGACAAAGCCAGGCACCUUAAAUUUGAUGACUUUGUAUGUGGUUGCUUCUCAGAAUUUUUUAAUUCAACAAUUUUGGUCAAUGAUAUAGUUAGAAAUUUUCAUUCCAGUUGGGGCUAGUGCCAGUAAUUCCAGUCACUGACAUAUUGAGCCUUCCUACAAGUUAAAAAUCAGACUCACAGUCAGAGUGCUAUAUUGUCUUAAAGAGAAGAAGGCAGACCGAAAAUCAGAGAGGCAGACAGCAAGACAUAAGGCAAGAAAAAGACUUGUAAGUUGUAAAAAGAAAAGAAGGACUCAAUUGCUUUUGGGUCCUGGUCUGCUUUUGGGUCCUUACCUACUCUGGUAAGCCUUGGAAUAUAAAUUAUCUUAUAACCUCCAGACUCCUAAGAAGACUUGCAGGUUGAUGCAGGGAAGUGCAUAGGUUCAGAAGGUGUCAGGUUCUACUCAACAUCUGUUCCUUUAUACUGUACCUCAACAAAAGACAAGAGCACCCAAGGUCUUAAAACACCAAAGGGAGAAAAAGCACUGAGAUUCAUACCCUGGUGUGGGCUGGGGCUUCAUGAGUGUUUUGAGAGGGUCUAAGACCUCCAAGUAUUGUGAUGUUAUCUCUCGGCAGGUUGGACAAGAGUAUCAGGUGACCAACAUUGUCAGGAAGGAGACACACAUUACUGUUUUACUGAAAAUGAGGAGCUCUUUUUCAUCCAAGAAGAACUGGGCCUGCUUACAUUAGGGUGGAUCUAUGUAAGCAAGUAGACCUCAAUGUCCGAUGGUUUCUCUUGUCUGUCUCUUAGAACCAUCUUACAUAAAUCUUGCUCUUAACAGAGUCAAUCCAUUCCUGAUCAUCUCUGAACAUAGCCAAUAGUGUCCAGUUUGAGUCAAAAGAGAAUUUCCUAGUACUUUACAGCUCUUUUUAUUUUACAUCUUACUUGAAGUAAUUCUUCAAAGUUCCAAUUCCAUGUGAGUCUGCUUGCCAAGAUGUAUGAGAAUAACAUAUACAGACCAUACGCCUAAAAGUUGUAGAAAUGAAACUUAAAUAAUCAAGGGUGUCCUAUCUGAUGAGUGUGUUUUUUUAUUUAUGAAGAAGUACUUUGUUUCUGCAUACCUGAAAGCUUCUACAUGCAAGGUAUUCAAGUGGUUGCACCUGCCCAGCACACUUCUGUUGAUUAUCAAGGGAACACAGCAACUGGCCUAGGCCUUCCUUCAAAUGUCUCUCUUAUUUUUAUUUAUUUAUUAUAUAGCUUUCUUCAGACACACCAGAAGAGUGUGUCAGAUCUCAUUACAGAUGGUUGAGCCACCAUGUGGUUGCUAGGAAUUGGACUCAGGAUCUCUGGAAGAGCAGUCUGUGCUCUUAAUCACUGAGUCAUCUCUCAAGCCCCAGAUUCUCUCAUUUUUAAAGACUGGAGCUCACAAAACCUGCAACACUAUUUGUAGUGUGACAAGUAUAAGCCCAAACCAGGUGGUUUAUUUGUAAGUUUUGUGAGAUCACUUAUACUUCUAGACAGAACUUGUGAAGGCACUCUCCUGACUUCAUGAUCUUCGACCUGAUUGUAUAAAUUCUUACUGCUGUGCCUAACUCAAUAAUAUAUUAUGUCCAAUGGAAAUUUGGUGUUUUGUGUCUUGGGACACAAAAAGGAGAUCACAAAGAAAAUUGCACCAAGUUACAUUAGGCAAAUAUUCUUCAGGAUGGAAAUAUAGGUGAAUAUGGGUAGCAGAGGAAAAACUAUAACACUUAAUGUGAUUUAGUAUGACUUGGGAAGAGAGACACAAAAUGUUCAUGGGUUGGGGGACAGUGUUGAAGAGAGAUACACUGUAUUCCUGUAUCAGUGAGCAUUUCUGUUGGCUCAGAUUUGGGGUUUCUUUAUAAAAGAAUGCCUAAUAUAUGCUGAAAUAACUCUUGAGAAUCAUGCUAUGCAUUGUCUGAUGUGGGCAGAAAAAUAGUGGCAAUAUUGAAUAGAGGGCAAACUCUUUGGGUUAUUCUGAGUAAAAAGUGAUGUGAUCUAGAAGUUAGAAUGAAGGAGUUGCAAGGCUACUUGGGAAGUUCAGGAAAGGUUUAAAAGCUGAUACCAUGGAAUAAUGAUGAGGGGUUAAUAGCUAUGUGUUGG